rnacentral:lncRNA from 1 species
CUCGCUCCGCUCUUGGCCGCCGCAGGGACGGUGCAAACAGCCAAAGAAGACACGGUCAAGCCGGGAAACUUUUCCCGGGGCCCUCCCCGGCCCAGGUCUGCUCUGGGUCUGAGAUCCAGAAGCUUGAGGAGGGGCAGAAAUUUGGUGUCUAGAGGAAAGAAAACUGUGAGGAUACCUGCUUUGGAUUGUCUUUGAAACCCAGGAAGUCACCAGAAGAAGUG